rnacentral:rRNA from 1 species
UACGUAGGGUGCGAGCGUUAAUCGGAAUUACUGGGCGUAAAGCGUGCGCAGGCGGUUUGACAAGUCUGAUGUGAAAUCCCCGGGCUUAACCUGGGAACUGCGCUUGUGACUGCACGGCUAGAGUACGGCAGAGGGGGGUGGAAUUCCACGUGUAGCAGUGAAAUGCGUAGAUAUGUGGAGGAACACCGAUGGCGAAGGCAGCCCCCUGGGCCGAUACUGACGCUCAUGCACGAAAGCGUGGGGAGCAAACAGGAUUAGAAACCCGUGUAGU